GAGGGUACAGCUCAGUGGUAGAGCAUGUGCUUAGCAUGCAUGAGGUCCUGGGUUCAAUUCUCAGUACCUUCA
rfam:Camelus ferus unplaced genomic scaffold scaffold2340, whole genome shotgun sequence.